UCAGGGAGGUAGUGACAAGAAAUAACGGACCGAGGUUAUGCCUCGGGUUUGCAAUGAGUAGAAUUUAAACCCCUUUACGAGGAUCAAUUGGAGGGCAAGUCUGGUGCCAGCAGCCGCGGUAAUUCCAGCUCCAAUAGCAUAUAUUAAAGUUGUUGCAGUUAAAAAGCUCGUAGUUGGAUUUCUGGGAGGGUGCCAAUGUCCGCUGUUGCGUGUGCAGCGGCGCCCUUCCAUCCUUCUGUUAACGUUUCUGGUAUUCAGUUACUGGUCUCGGGCUCAGAUACUUUACCUUGAGAAAAUUAGAGUGUUCCAGGCAGGCUUGCGCCGGAAUACAUUAGCAUGGAAUAAUAGAAUAGGACUUUAGUCUCCUUUGUUGGUUUGAGGGACUGAAGUAAUGAUUAAUAGGGAUAGUUGGGGGCAUUAGUAUUUAAUUGUCAGAGGUGAAAUUCUCGGAUUUGUUAAAGACUAACUUAUGCGAAAGCAUUUGCCAAGGAUGUUUUCAUUAAUCAAGAACGAAAGUUAGGGGAUCAAAGACGAUCAGAUACCGUCGUAGUCUUAACCAUAAACUAUGCCGACUAGGGAUCGGAGGCGCGUUUUAUCCGCCUUCGGCACCUUAUGAGAAAUCAAAGUCUUUGGGUUCUGGGGGGAGUAUGGUCGCAAGGCUGAAACUUAAAGGAAUUGACGGAAGGGCACCACCAGGAGUGGAGCUUGCGGCUCAAUUUGACUCAACACGGGAAAACUUACCAGGUCCAGACAUAGUGAGGAU
rnacentral:rRNA from 1 species